rnacentral:rRNA from 1 species
UCUGAAUCUGCGUACGGCUCCGCAAACCAGUUGUAAACUAUAGCAAGCAAGCUCAGGGUUGGCCUUCACGGGCCGGCUCGGGGCGAUAUGGAUAACCCUGGUAAUUCUGAGGCUAAUACAUGAGUGUAAACCCUGGAGGACCGGCUUCGGCUGGGAAUCUGGGGGAUGUGCGAUUGCAGGCUUGGUAACACCGGGAAAGGGCGCACGUUCAGAUCACGCUAAAAAGGUCGGGCUCCUUCGGGGGCCUGCCCCAGUGACUCUUGCUGUGUGCUUCUGACCUAUCAACUAGACGGCAGCGUAAGGGACAUGCUAUGGU